UUCCUUUACCGAGGGUGAGACCUCCCACUCCACCGCCUCCCCCAUCUUCACCGCUCAAAAGACCGUCUUCGUCUGCCUCCUCGUCAUCCACCAUGACAGCACUGCGGUUCCUUCAUCCUCUAGGGUGUCGAUCUCAAUCUUCCCAGUCGGUGGAGGAAGAGGUGGCGAUGUUUUGCGUCAGGUCGACAAGAUGUAUGGGUAAUACGAAAAAAUAAAGAAAUUUGAUUUUUUCUUGUUUAUUUUUUUUAAUUGUUUUUUCGGAGCCUUUCAACUUUUAAUUGGGUAAUUUAUUUUCUUCGAUAAUUGGGAAUGUUCGUACGAAACUUAGAAUUAUAUUCUUUCAUUCUGAGUAUAAUUAUUUUUCUUCAAUUCGAAUUUCUUGUGUCAGGUAAAUAUUUUAUGGGACUCCCUAAUAUUGUUUAUGUCGAUUUGAUCCAUGAAUGUUUGGUUUCGUCUCAAAACUCUAGUAUUUCUAUCACCAACAAGAUUGUAUCCUUUCAUGUCGAAUCUGAUGAUUUUUGGGCUAGUAAAGAUUGGUUUUUAAUGAAAAUUUUAUGCUAUUUUAUUUGUUAUGGGAGACGAGGAUCAUUAUGUAUUGUAUGUAGUUAAAUGGGGUUGUCGUUAUCUUUUCUCCAUGAAUAUGUGCUUUGUUUAUUUCGUAUGAUGAUGAAAAAUAAGUAUGUUAUGUUUUCUGAAAAAAAAUAAUUAAUUCAAUAGUGGUUUUCAAGCAUUAAAUCUUAAUAGUGAUGUAUGAUCUAAUUUCAAUUUUAAAUUUCGAUAUAUAGUUUGGUAUAUGCGAGUCCUUUAAAAUUCACUAAUAUUUAUAAUGAAUUUCGAUAAGUAUGCAAAGUGGUUUUCGUGUUUAUAUAGUUAUUUAUAUAGAGUGGUUUUCAUGUUUAUAUAGUUGUUUAUACAGAGUGAUUUUCAUGUUUAUAUAGUUGUUUAUACAGAGUGGUUUUCAUGUUUAUAUAGUUGUUUAUACAGAGUGGUUUUCAUGUUUAUAUAGCAGUUUAUAUAUAAUGGUUUUCAUGUUUAUAUAGUUGUUUACACAGAGUGGUUUUCAUUGUUGUUCCCUCAUUCAUUUUCGUUUCAACAGAUUUAUGCAAUAUUAGUAGGUUGGAAAGAUUUUUUUACGAAAGCUUCCCGGAUUUCUGUUCCCACCAACGAUGGUGUGACACCAAGGUUUGCUUUUGGAAAUCGGUUUUCAUUUGCUAAUUAUUUUUUUUCUUGUCCAGAUUGAUUUAGUGAUCCUCGUCAGCCUUGUUGGUGGUGGUGUACUGGUUCUGCACUUUUUCGUAAAGAUUAGAUUUUCGAAUAUUGAAUUUAUAUUUUUUAAUUUUUUUGUUAUUUUGUAGUUGUGUUAGUAGUGAAUUACGUAUGUUUUUAGUGGAUUUCGAUAAGUUUGUUGUGGGUUAUAUUAAUAUUAAAGUGGAUUACGUUA
rnacentral:lncRNA from 1 species